UACAGAGGUCUCAAGCGUUGUUCGGAUUCAUUGGGCGUAAAGGGUCCGUAGGCGGUUUGGUAAGUCAGUGGUGAAAGCCCAUCGCUUAACGAUGGAACGGCCAUUGAUACUGCCAGACUUGAAUUACUGGGAAGUAACUAGAAAUAUGUAGUGUAGCGGUGAAAUGCUUAGAUAUUACAUGGAAUACCAAUUGCGAAGGCAGGUUACUACCAGUGGAUUGACGCUGAUGGACGAAAGCGUGGGGAGCGAACAGG
rnacentral:rRNA from 1 species